AGUGAACGCUGGCGGUAGGCCUAACACAUGCAAGUCGAACGGCAGCACAGUAAGAGCUUGCUCUUACGGGUGGCGAGUGGCGGACGGGUGAGGAAUACAUCGGAAUCUACUUUUUCGUGGGGGAUAACGUAGGGAAACUUACGCUAAUACCGCAUACGACCUACGGGUGAAAGCAGGGGAUCUUCGGACCUUGCGCGAUUGAAUGAGCCGAUGUCGGAUUAGCUAGUUGGCGGGGUAAGGGCCCACCAAGGCGACGAUCCGUAGCUGGUCUGAGGGGAUGAUCAGCCACACUGGAACUGAGACACGGUCCAGACUCCUACGGGAGGCAGCAGUGGGGAAUAUUGGACAAAGGGCGCAAGCCUGAUCCAGCCAUACCGCGUGGGUGAAGAAGGCCUUCGGGUUGUAAAGCCCUUUUGUUGGGAAAGAAAAGCAGCAGGUUAAUACCCCGCUGUUCUGACGGUACCCAAAGAAUAAGCACCGGCUAACUUCGUG
rnacentral:rRNA from 1 species